rnacentral:rRNA from 1 species
AUUGAACGCUGGCGGCAGGCCUAACACAUGCAAGUCGAGCGGAUGAAGGGAGCUUGCUCCUGGAUUCAGCGGCGGACGGGUGAGUAAUGCCUAGGAAUCUGCCUGGUAGUGGGGGAUAACGUCCGGAAACGGGCGCUAAUACCGCAUACGUCCUGAGGGAGAAAGUGGGGGAUCUUCGGACCUCACGCUAUCAGAUGAGCCUAGGUCGGAUUAGCUAGUUGGUGGGGUAAAGGCCUACCAAGGCGACGAUCCGUAACUGGUCUGAGAGGAUGAUCAGUCACACUGGAACUGAGACACGGUCCAGACUCCUACGGGAGGCAGCAGUGGGGAAUAUUGGACAAAGGGCGAAAGCCUGAUCCAGCCGUGCCGCGUGUGUGAAGAAGGUCUUCGGAUUGUAAAGCACUUUAAGUUGGGAGGAAGGGCAGUAAGUUAAUACCUUGCUGUUUUGACGUUACCAACAGAAUAAGCACCGGCUAACUUCGUG